UACGUAGGAGACGAGCGUUGUCCGGAAUCACUGGGCGUAAAGAGCUCGUAGGCGGUUUGUCGCGUCGACUGUGAAAACUGGGGGCUUAACUCUCAGCUUGCAGUUGAUACGGGCAGACUUGAGUUCGGUAGGGGAGACUGGAAUUCCUGGUGUAGCGGUGAAAUGCGCAGAUAUCAAGGAGGAACACCGGUGGCGAAGGCGGGUCUCUGGGCCGAUACUGACGCUGAGGAGCGAAAGCCAGGGGAGCAAACGGG
rnacentral:rRNA from 1 species